CCUGAACACAUAGGGUGUGUGGAGGGAACGUCGGGAAGUGAAACAUCUCAGUACCGACAGGAAGAGAAAACAACAGUGAUUCCGAGAGUAGUGGCGAGCGAAAUCGGAUGAGGCUAAACCGUGUCUGUGUGAUACCCGGCAGGGGUUGCAGAUACGGGGUCGUGGGACCGCUCGAUUGAGUCUGCCGGCUCAGUACAGAGUAAGAAACCAGUGUGGAAGUCGAAACCGGUUGGAAAGCCGUACCGUAGAGGGUGAUAGGCCCGUAGACGUAAGGCACUGGCUCUGGAGCGUGUUCCCAAGUAACACGGAACCCCUGAAAUUCCGUGUGAAUCUGGCGGGACCACCCGUUAAGCCUAAAUACUCCUUGAUGACCGAUAGCGGACAAGUACCGUGAGGGAAAGGU
rnacentral:rRNA from 14 species